UGAGUGACAUCACUUGGUGGUGAAAGACCCCCAGGGGAGAUCUUCCCUCAGGGAGAGACCCCGGACCCGGGAAACACACCGAAACCACAGAUCAGAUGCAAACAGCAAGAGGCUUUAUUAAAUGCACAGGUACCUGGGGCCAAGUCUCUCAGAAGACUUGCGCGCCUACCGAGGGCAAAGGGGACUUUUUAUGGGAU